rnacentral:rRNA from 1 species
AGUGAACGCUGGCGGUAGGCCUAACACAUGCAAGUCGAACGGCAGCACAGUAAGAGCUUGCUCUUACGGGUGGCGAGUGGCGGACGGGUGAGGAAUACAUCGGAAUCUACUUUUUCGUGGGGGAUAACGUAGGGAAACUUACGCUAAUACCGCAUACGACCUACGGGUGAAAGCAGGGGAUCUUCGGACCUUGCGCGAUUGAAUGAGCCGAUGUCGGAUUAGCUGGUUGGCGGGGUAAAGGCCCACCAAGGCGACGAUCCGUAGCUGGUCUGAGAGGAUGAUCAGCCACACUGGAACUGAGACACGGUCCAGACUCCUACGGGAGGCAGCAGUGGGGAAUAUUGGACAAUGGGCGCAAGCCUGAUCCAGCCAUACCGCGUGGGUGAAGAAGGCCUUCGGGUUGUAAAGCCCUUUUGUCGGGAAAGAAAAGCAGCAGGUUAAUACCCCGCUGUUCUGACGGUACCCAAAGAAUAAGCACCGGCUAACUUCGUG